rnacentral:sRNA from 1 species
CAGUGUUCCAGCUGUGCACGCCUGCGCCCAUGUGCUCGAGGCUCUCCCUUGCCCUGAAGAUCUGAGGCCUCAAUCUUGUCAGAAGUCUGUUAAUUAUUAAUAUGUUUAUUAAUAAGUUUACGACAGACAGAAUUUCCCAAAGCCUUUAACAGUUUGCCCCACAAGGUCUCAGAAGGUGUGAACACAGCUUCAACAGUCUGCCUGGAUUGUGCUAUGACAACCGCAGAGAAACACAGUGGACAAAACUGGAUACCCUCAGAGUCAGAUGAUUUAUCUAAAUCAAGCAUCUUGUCACGUCCAGGUGCUUACUACACGAUCGAUUUUGUGUGAUGAAUACAGAAGCAGCAGCAGACUUGUAACGUCGGGGCCCAAAAGCAGGACUUGUGGUGGUGAUCUCAGAUCGUGUGCGCAGAAAUGGCGUGCAUCUCCUUUCUUGCCACAGCCAGUGCGAGCACGAAGCCCAUGGCAAGCGACCGAGACUGCGUCCCGGGCCCAGGGCAAUGCAGCGAGGCGGUGGGAGCGCACGGUUCCAUCCAUCUCCACCAAAGUUUCACGCCCCUGGCCUGUGGUAGCCCAGGGAACCUGCCAUUCCCAGACCUUGACCUCAGCAUACUAACUUCUUAACAUCACCCGACCUGGUCACUUCAAAGAUUGCUGGCUAUGCAACCCCCCAGGAACUAACUUAGAGCUGCCACUAAUAGCUUCUCCAGUGAUACAACCUGAUAACACCUUACCUCACCCUUUGUCAGCUGCCCUGACUCCAUACCUUUCCUCUAUUCCUCUUUUUAGUGUGGCAAACUGUUUUAAAACCUCUGGGACACAUUCCGUAAGAACACUAGGCUCUCUAGCCUGUAAUAGAACCACAACCAUUGAUAACCCCAUCUCUGCCACAAUGCCCUGCAGUCCAAAACACAUCAAUCCUUCGUGGCACUCGGGUGUAUAUCAUCGCCUCCCUGCCAGUUGGUCAGGAGGGGGAGAUGAGCCCCUGCCAAUCCCAGCUGAUAGCUGCCCAACGUAAGAGGGCAGAUCAGGUAGUGCCACUCUUGGUCGCCACAGGGGUAGCCAUAGGUGCUGGCACUGGGGUUGCAGGGAUGACUACUUCCGUGACCUGAUAGAAGUUCACUUAGGAACUUGAAAACGGUUUUCAGAAAAUGUCUGAAACCAUGCUUACCAUCCAGAAGCAGGUGGAGUCUUUAGCAGCUGUGGUGCUUCAGAACCAACAGGGAUUAGAUGUUCUGACAGCUAAGGAAGGUGGUCUUUGCCUGUUCCUCCAAGAAGAAUGCCGUUUCUACAUCAACCAGUCCGGGAUAGUGAGAAAUAAAGUCCAGGAGCUUCAAUCGGACAGGCAGAGUUUCAUGGAACAUGAGGCCUCCAGUUCCUGGACUUUGGGAAACACUAUAUGGAAGUGGACAGUCCCUUCAUCACAUCCUCUCCUGGUCCUCUUCCUGGAGUUACUAUCCACCCCUGCCUCAUUGAUCUUGUCUCUGCAUUCCUUCAACGACAGAUACAAAAAGUUUCUAAUCAAACUAUUAAUCAGUUCCUCCUACAGGAUUACCAGCCGCUGUCCACUGAGGAGCUGGAUGCAAACAUUUACCAAAAGGAGCCUGAUGGUGAAAGUCAGCUGUACCCCAACAUUGACGACACCCCAAGUCAGCAGGAAGUAGCCUAAGAGACACAUCGCCCCUAUCCUCCCUUCACCAUCAGCUUCCCCCUCCCUUUUUUCCUUCUUUUUAUGAUAUGAAAAAGGUAUGUUGGUAUCAGGAAUUGCCCCUAGCUGUGACACCUUUUGGCCACUGUUGCCAUGGCAAUGGCCAUACAUUCCCAGAAGACCUUUUGGCUCAAUUCGCACCCACACCUGGGAACCUUUAAGUCACAUUCCAAAUAAAAGGCAAGUUCCCUACCCCCUAGACCUCUUUUUCUCUUCUUUCUCUUGCCCCUUCCCUUUGUCUCCUUCCCCCAUUAAAAUCUUACCACAUGGAA